UUAUUCGUAGUCCAGUGGUAAGGACGCUUGUCUCUCACCCUGGAAUCCCGGGUUCGAUCCCCGGUCGAGGAGU